rnacentral:rRNA from 1 species
UACAGAGGGUGCAAGCGUUGUUCGGAAUUAUUGGGCGUAAAGCGCGUGUAGGCGGUCUUGCAAGUUGGGUGUGAAAGCCCUCGCUUAACCGAGGAAGUGCGCCCAAAACUACGAGACUUGAGUACCGGAGAGGGUGGCGGAAUUCCCGGUGUAGAGGUGAAAUUCGUAGAUAUCGGGAGGAACACCAGAGGCGAAGGCGGCCACCUGGACGAGCACUGACGCUGAGAAGCGAAAGCGUGGGGAGCAAACAGG